AAUAUUGUUUCAGUCCCGCUCUUCCCCCUCCCUAUCUUUUUCACUGACGGCCUCUCCUAUCUUUUCCAUGUUAUCUGCACUUUCCUUCACACAUGGAUCUGAUCAAUUUUAUAACUGCCGUAUUGUUUGGCCGUUAAAACCCUCUGCCAACCUCAUCUCUCAGUUUGCUUCAACAACGAAUGAACCAGAAACCUCUAAAGCUAAAGCAUUAGACCAUCUGCCACGGUAAGCCAAAAAGCCAAAUAUGGGGUAUAAUUCACUCCCAUCGUAAGCCAUAUUCAAUAAGGAUUUACCUUACCAUAGCAGAUGCUCUUACAGAAGGUCGAGGAUAAGUCCGAAGUUGCCAGGGUGUACCAAAUUUCCUAUGCAAGAUUAAUUUUGCCGUAGUGUUUUCUUAGAGAUAAUAUGUAAUUCAUGCUGUAGUGCUAAAAAUGUUUCUUUGAUGAUUAUUUAGGCAUUGAAGGAAAGUGUUCUCCAUCAAAUAUGUGAGGCAAAGCCAUUGGCUUUGAUCAUUGAUUGGAAUUCACUCCUGUCUAACAAAAAGAAGACAAUUGUGAUGUAUUUUGUCAUUGCAUAAACUGUGACAUGAUUGUGUAAGGAUUGCAUAAUCUGAACUUUAACUUGCAGCAUAGCCCUAGCAAAGUUUGUACCAGAAUCACGGGGCACACUGAAUUUUAAGUUUGGAACUUCUUCUGGAGCUGUAUCUUAGCCUUGAGAACUUUAUAGUUAGAAACUUGUAUGUGAUAACAGUCUAUUGGGAUGGAAUGGGUUAUGUAAUACUGUAUUGGGUUUGAUUUAUAGUACUCAUA